CCCUUAGAUGUUCUGGGCUGCACACGCGCUACACUGAAGGGAUCAGCGUGUUCUUUUCCUGGUCCGAAAGGAUCGGGUAACCCGCUGAACCCCCUUCGUGGUAGGGAUCGGAGCUUGCAAUUAUUCUCCGUGAACCAGGAAUUCCCAGUAAGCGCAAGUCAUAAGCUUGCGUUGAUUACGUCCCUGCCCUUUGUACACACCGCCCGUCGCACCUACCGAUUGAAUGGUCCGGUGAAAUCUCGGGACGGCGGCUUGGUCGCUUGCGUCCGACUGCUGAAACUUGAUUAAACCAUAUCAUUUAGAGGAAGGUGAAGUCGUAACA
rnacentral:rRNA from 1 species